rnacentral:rRNA from 1 species
AUUGAACGCUGGCGGCAUGCCUUACACACGCAAGUCGAACGGCAGCACGGGUGCUUGCACCUGGUGGCGAGUGGCGAACGGGUGAGUAAUACAUCGGAACAUGUCCUGUAGUGGGGGAUAGCCCGGCGAAAGCCGGAUUAAUACCGCAUACGAUCUACGGAUGAAAGCGGGGGACCUUCGGGCCUCGCGCUAUAGGGUUGGCCGAUGGCUGAUUAGCUAGUUGGUGGGGUAAAGGCCUACCAAGGCGACGAUCAGUAGCUGGUCUGAGAGGACGACCAGCCACACUGGGACUGAGACACGGCCCAGACUCCUACGGGAGGCAGCAGUGGGGAAUUUUGGACAAUGGGCGAAAGCCUGAUCCAGCAAUGCCGCGUGUGUGAAGAAGGCCUUCGGGUUGUAAAGCACUUUUGUCCGGAAAGAAAUCCUUGGCCCUAAUACGGUCGGGGGAUGACGGUACCGGAAGAAUAAGCGCCGGCUAACUACGUG